AAGUUAAAAAAGGCAUUAAGAGGAUACCUUAACAUUAAAAAUUUUAUGCGGGCGUUGACUACGAUAUGUAUAACGAGUAAUAAAAAUUACUGAGACUUGUACAUUCCCGCAAACAGAAAACUGAUCUUUUUAUUUAAGAUGCAUUUAAUAAAAUAAAUGCUUUAAAUUUAGUGAAUUGAAACAUCUUAGUAACUAAAUAAAAAAUCAAUAGAGGUACUGUAAGUAGUGGCGAACGAAAGCGGUAUAAAAGACUUAUUGUAUUUUUAAUUAUUUUGUUUAAUUAUAUUUUUCCAUAGAAGGUUUAAGUCCUGUAAAACAUUAUAUUAAAAUACAGUUUAAGUAAAACGAUAUCCUGUCAUGUAUUGUUUGAAUAUUGGGGAACCACCCUCAAAGUCUUAAAAUUUUUAAUGAUUGAUAGUGAACAAGUACCGUGAGGGAAAGGUGAAAUAGAUUUUUUAUAUUUUGAAAAAGAUAUUGAAACUUAAUGCUAACAAGCAGUUGAGGCUUUUUUAAAGUUACAACGUACCUUUUGCAUAAUGGAUCAACGAGUUUAUUUUAGUGGCAAGCUUAAACUAUUAUAAGUGUAGGCGUAAAGAAAUUAAGUUAUAAAAUUUGCAUAUUUAGUCUCUAAAAUAAAACCCGAAACUAAGUGAUCUAACCAUGAACAGGUUGAAUUUAUUGCGGUAACGCGUAUUGGAGGACCGAACUCGUGUAUGUGGAAAAAUACUGAGAUGAUUUGUGGUUAGGGGUGAAAGGCCAAUCAAACUUAGAUAUAGCUGGUUUUCUGCGAAAUCUAUUUAAGUAGAGCAUUUUAAUAACUUUAUUUUAAGGUAGAGCACUUAAUAAGUAAUGGGAACGUAAAGUUUUACUGAAUUUAAUAAAACUCCGAAUAUAAAAUAAAAGAAUUAAAAUAGACAGACUAUAAAUGCUAAGAUUUUUAGUCAAAAGGGAAACAGCCCAGACUAUUAGUUAAGGUCCUUAAAAAUAAUUAAGUGAAAAAGAUAGUAAAAAAAUAAUAACAAUUAGUAGGUGGGCUUGGAAGCAGCCAUCCUUUAAAGAAAGCGUAACAGCUCACUAGUUUAAUUUUUUAGCAUCGAAAAUGUACAGGGACUUAAAUUAUUUACCGAAACUAUAGAUUAAAUAUAUUUGUUAUUUAAUGGUAGCAGAACGUUCUGUAUAUUUACGAAGAUUUAUAGUGAUAUAAAUUUGAGAAAUCAGAAUUGAAAAUGUUGAUAUGAGUAGCGACAAACAAUGUGAAAAACAUUGUCAUCUUAUGUUCAAGGUUUAUAAGGUAAAGCUAAUCUUCCUUAUAUCUAGAAUCGGCCCCUAAGAAAAAGACGAAAGUUUUAUUUUAAUGGGUUAUUAAAUUUUUUUUAAUAUUUAUUUUAAUGUGACAAAUUAUAAAUUUUAUUUGUAUUUUUUGGUUAAUAUAAGUAAUUUAAUAAUUUCGAGAAACAGCAUUAAUUAUUAUUUAAUUUAAAUUUUUUAUAUUAAAUUUAAAAAAACCGUACUGGAAACCGACACAGGUGAACAAAUUGAGUAAAUUAAGAUGAUUGAGAGAAUUAUAUUGAAGGAACUCGGCAAAAUGACUCCGUAACUUCGGGAGAAGGAGUAACUUUAUUAGGGCAACCUAAUAAAGUUGUCACAAAAUCGAGGACAGCGACUGUUUAUUAAAAACACAGGUCUCUGCAAAUUCGUAAGAAAAUGUAUAGAGACUGACGCCUGCCCAGUGCUGUAAGUGUAAUAAAAAAAGUAUAUGCUUUGAUUAGAAAACCCAGUAAACGGCGGCUGUAAUUCUGACGGUCCAAAGGUAGCGAAAUUCCUUGGCAUUUAAUUGGUGUCCUGCAUGAAUGGCGUAACGACUGUCCUACUGUCUCCAAUAUAAGCUCAGUGAAAUUGAAUUCUCCGUGAAGAUGCGGAGUACUUGCGGCUAGACGGAAAGACCCCGUGCACCUUUACUAUAGUUAAAUAUUGUAAUAAUAAAUUUUAUAUGUAGAAUAAGUGGUAAGUUUUUUAAAAUCAUUACACCAGUAAUUUAUCUAAAACGACAUGUGAAAUACCACUUUUAAAAUUUUUUUGUUACUCAUUCAAAGUUGAAAACAGUGUUUAAUGGGUAGUUUGACUGGGGCGGUCGCCUCCUAAAGAGUAACGGAGGCGCACUAAGGUAAGUUCAAAUCGAAAUAUAUCGAUUGUAGAGCGUAAUAGUAAAUACUUGCUUGACUGUAAGAUUGACAAAUCAAACAGGGACGAAAGUCGGUUAUAGUGAUCCGAUGAUUCUGUGUGGAAAAGGUCAUCGCUCAACGGAUAAAAGGUACGCCGGGGAUAACAGGCUAAUCACCCUCUAGAGACCCUAUCGACGGGGUGGUUUGGCACCUCGAUGUUGGAUUAUCACAUCCUGAAGCUGCAAAAGGUUUCAAGGGUUUGGCUGUUCGCCAAGUAACGUGGUACAUGAUCUGAGUUUAGAACGUCGUGAGACAGUUUGGUCCCUAUCUACCGCAAGCGCAAGAAAAUUAAGAGGAUUAAACCCUAGUACGAGAGGACCGGGAAAAGUAAAUCUAUGGUGAAUCGGUUGUUAUAUCAAUAGCAUAGCCGAGUAGCUAAAUUUAUAAUAGAUAAUCACAGAAAGCAUUUAAGUGAGAAACUAACCUCAAGAUAAUUUUUCAAAAAUACGUAAUAGAACAUUACGAAAUAGGUUUGGUGUGUAAGAAUUGCAAGAUUUUUAGCUAACAAAUACUAAUUUUUAUUUAAACUUUUUAAUACAAA
rnacentral:rRNA from 1 species